rnacentral:rRNA from 1 species
UACGUAGGGUGCAAGCGUUGUCCGGAAUUAUUGGGCGUAAAGAGCUCGUAGGCGGUCUGUCGCGUCGGCUGUGAAAUCCCGAGGCUCAACCUCGGGUCUGCAGUCGAUACGGGCAAACUAGAGUAUUGCAGGGGAGACUGGAAUUCCUGGUGUAGCGGUGAAAUGCGUAGAUAUCUGGAGGAACACCGGUGGCGAAGGCGGCAUCCUGGACCGAUACUGACGCUGAGGAGCGAAAGCCAGGGGAGCAAACGGG